AUUGAACGCUGGCGGCAGGCCUAACACAUGCAAGUCGAGCGGAUGAAGGGAGCUUGCUCCUGGAUUCAGCGGCGGACGGGUGAGUAAUGCCUAGGAAUCUGCCUGGUAGUGGGGGAUAACGUCCGGAAACGGGCGCUAAUACCGCAUACGUCCUGAGGGAGAAAGUGGGGGAUCUUCGGACCUCACGCUAUCAGAUGAGCCUAGGUCGGAUUAGCUAGUUGGUGGGGUAAAGGCCUACCAAGGCGACGAUCCGUAACUGGUCUGAGAGGAUGAUCAGUCACACUUGAACUGAGACACGGUCCAGACUCCUACGGGAGGCAGCAGUGGGGAAUAUUGGACAAUGGGCGAAAGCCUGAUCCAGCCAUGCCGCGUGUGUGAAGAAGGUCUUCGGAUUGUAAAGCACUUUAAGUUGGGAGGAAGGGCAGUAAGUUAAUACCUUGCUGUUUUGACGUUACCAACAGAAUAAGCACCGGCUAACUU
rnacentral:rRNA from 1 species